CAACUCCAAAACUUUUUUCCUACAAAUUUAAGAUGUAUACAUCACAAUGUAUUACAAUUUACAAACAUGACACUACACAAUUUCACAAUACAAAAACUUAAUUCAAUUCAAAAUGAGUACUAUUGCAAACUUAGUUGAAUGAAGGAACAACACAUAUCAUUCUACAAAUUUUACCAUACAAAACAAUUUCACCCAAUAACUAAAAAUAAUCAAUCUUCCCUCACUACAAUCCCUCACACUAGCCCCCACACUCCACCUACAUGCUCCGCCAACAAUUCCUCCUCCCACAAAAUGCUCAACCAAAAAAAAUUAACUUCCAAAAACAAACCAAUAGGAGAAAGUGGCAUUUCCUUUGUUGGAAGCAAAUACAUUAAUGAUCACCAACAAUGAACAACGAACCACGUCCAACAUGAUCAACAAUCUAUCAAAUCACAUAUGCAACAAUAUAUUAUAUAACUUAAAUUGUAGAAUAAAAUUAGUUCUCUUCUUAAUUUUCCUUGUGAUAAGCAAACAAUAAUGAAAUAAAGAGAGGAAGCGAAAAUAUUCAAGUAACUUCUAUAUCAUUUUACGUU
rnacentral:lncRNA from 1 species